rnacentral:rRNA from 1 species
GACAGAGGCCCCAAGCGUUAGGCGGAAUCACUGGGCUUAAAGCGUGUGUAGGCGGACGCCUAAGUGUCUUGUGAAAUCCCACGGCUCACCCGUGGAACUGCUGGGCAUACUGGGCGUCUUGGGCCAACUAGGGGCAGCCGGAACAAGCGGUGGAGCGGUGAAAUGCGUAGAUAUCGCUUGGAACGCCGAAGGUGAAAACAGGCUGCUGGGGUUGCGCCGACG